UACGUAGGGGGCAAGCGUUGUCCGGAUUUAUUGGGCGUAAAGAGCGUGUAGGCGGUUUGGUAGGUCCGCUGUGAAAACUCGAGGCUCAACCUCGAGACGCCGGUGGAAACCAUCAGGCUAGAGUCCGGAAGAGGAGAGUGGAAUUCCUGGUGUAGCGGUGAAAUGCGCAGAUAUCAGGAGGAAUACCGAUGGCGAAGGCAGGUCUCUGGGCUGACACUGACGCUCAUGCACGAAAGCGUGGGGAGCAAACAGG
rnacentral:rRNA from 1 species